rnacentral:rRNA from 1 species
GACAGCCAAAYGAMRRACGCKGGCGGCGUGCCUAACACAUGCAAGUCGAACGGUAACAGUCCUUCGGGAGCUGACGAGUGGCGCACGGGUGAGUAACGCGUGGAUAUCUGCCUAUUAGUGGGGGACAACUACAGGAAACUGUAGCUAAUACCGCAUAAUCUCUACGGAGGAAAGCAGGGGACCUUUCGGGGCCUUGCGGCUGAUAGAUGAGUCCGCGUCUGAUUAGCUAGUUGGUAAGGUAAUGGCUUACCAAGGCGAUGAUCAGUAACUGGUUUGAGAGGAUGAUCAGUCACACUGGAACUGAGACACGGUCCAGACUCCUACGGGAGGCAGCAGUGGGGAAUAUUGCACAAUGGGCGAAAGCCUGAUGCAGCGACGCCGCGUGCGGGAAGAAGGCCUUCGGGUUGUAAACCGCUUUCAAUUGGGAAGAAGAGAUGAGGGCUAAUAUCCCUCUGAUUUGACGGUACCUUUAGAAGAAGCACCGGCUAAUUUCGUGCCAGCAGCCGCGGUAAUACGAAAGGUGCAAGCGUUGUUCGGAUUUACUGGGCGUAAAGAGAUCGUAGGUGGUUUGUUAAGUCGGAUGUGAAAAUCCCGGGGCUCAACCCCGGAACUGCAUUCGAUACUGAUAGGCUAGAGUUUGGGAGGGGGUAAGCGGAAUUCCGUGUGUAGCAGUGAAAUGCGUAGAUAUACGGAGGAACACCUGAGGCGAAGGCGGCUUACUGGACCMAUACUGACACUGAGGAUCGAAAGCGUGGGUAGCAAACAGGAUUAGAUACCCUGGUAGUCCACGCCCUAAACGAUGUCAACUAGCCGUAGCGGGUAUCGACCCCUGCUGUGSCGAAGCUAACGCGAUAAGUUGACCGCCUGGGGAGUACGGUCGCAAGAUAACYAAAUGAUGCGUCGG